GUUUGCUCCUAAUGAAGGCAGAGCCUGCCAUUUUUGUUACAAUCCAGUACCAACACAGUCAUAAUUUCAUUUCCUUUUGAUUUUCAUCAGAUUUCUUUCAUGGGGGAUCAGCUGCAGGUGCCUGAGUCUAGAAAGGAGCAGGUGUGACAGAUCAGGGGCUGCCCUUUGCAGAGCAGAAAAUUGGAGUUCUCAGUGAACAUCUCAAUCUUCCAACUGGAGAAGCAAGGAGUGUCCAACAGAACAGAGCUGACCUCGUGUGAGAAGCAGUGAAAAAUUCCAUCUGUGGGUGCCUUUGUGGGCAGCUGCUGGAACAGAAUCCCUGAAAGCUCUGCAGUGCCUGGACACAAUUCCUCACCAGCUUCAAGGCAGCAAGAAGGCAACAUCAGAUUUCAUUCAGCAGGAAGCUGAAGGAAAGGGUAGGAGGAAAAAAAGAAGAAAAUUCAGUCUCUGCAGAGCAGAGCGAGGUGCUGAACAUGUCACAGGACUGGAGCAAAGAAUUCUUUCUGGCAUCUCUACAGAAGCAGAGCCUGCCCUGUGCAUUGCAGUUUGAAAUUCCUUAACUCUCCAUAAAAUGCUCUCAAGAUUGGAUUCAUCAGCUCUUGCCAGGCCACAAAUUACUGCAGAUGAAUAAUAGAUGUUCU
rnacentral:lncRNA from 1 species